rnacentral:rRNA from 1 species
GUCCACGCCGUAAACGUUGGGCACUAGGUGUGGGGCGCUAUCGACGCGUUCCGUGCCGUAGCUAACGCAUUAAGUGCCCCGCCUGGGGAGUACGGCCGCAAGGCUAAAACUCAAAGGAAUUGACGGGGGCCCGCACAAGCGGCGGAGCAUGUGGCUUAAUUCGAUGCAACGCGAAGAACCUUACCUGGGUUGAACUAUGCAGGAAAAGCCGUAGAGAUACGGUGUCCUUCGGGGCCUGUGAUAGGUGGUGCAUGGCUGUCGU